rfam:Salmo salar isolate Sally breed double haploid chromosome ssa01, whole genome shotgun sequence.
AAUGCACCAAUUUGCACCAGACGCUCUGGAUAAGAGCGUCUGCUAAAUGACUUAAA